GUGAUGCAGGCCUGGGAGUAUAGCCAGCCUGGACACCCUCACACUCAGUUGCUUCAGGCAACCCUGCUGUUCUGACAGUGGAGAAGGUUCUCUGUUUUCUGAACAGUCACCCUGAGCCAGGGCUGAGCUUUGGCUCAAUUGUUUUGGAUAUGGAGCCUCAACUCACCCUUCUGGGUAGCUUGGGGUUACUCUUUCUGUACCUGACUUACCUGGUGAUGAAAUCACUUUUGCCAACUACCUGGGAAAAUGAAGAAACCCAAAAGCCUCCGGAGUGAGGAUCAUGGCACCAUGAACCUCCAGACGCCCUCUGUGACAUGUGUAAUAGAUCAACUGCUGAGCUCGUGAAAGUGCUGUUCCGGCAGUUUCUGAAAGAUGCUGCUCCCUGUCUCACUUUUAGCUUCUACAGUUUCUGGAACAGAAUUAUCACACAUUUUUUCCUCCACCCUCUCAGCAAGCCCUCCAGGAGACCUACUACCAGCCCCUCUGCCAGAGCCUUCUCCACCUCCUGCCUCCAUUCUCUCACCUGACCUGAUGACCCCUUUUUUCACUUACUUUCACCCUCACCAUUGGUGACUCUCUGUCCCCAGAGCCUGUUCCUCCCUUGGAUCCAAAUUCUCAGUGGACCAUUCCCCACCCCAGCUGCUUGCCUUUUCCCCUCUCCCACCACAUCACACUCAGGGAGCAGAUCCUGUCCUCCAGCCAGAAGCCACUUUGUCUAUAAAAACCAUCUUUGCACUUGACCCAAUCUUUUUCUGAGAUAUCGACCCCUUGCCAAAUUUUUCCCAGGCAGUGGAUCCUACCCAUUCCCAUGCUUGUCAUCAUGCACUACCAACCCUUGCUUCACUACCACUAGAUGGCAUUUUAACUGUGACUUAAUCUAAAUCAAUUUCCAUCUUUUUGAAGCCUGUUCUGGAGAUGUCCUCUCUAGAUAGAGGUGAUGAAUUGUCGACUGAUGUCCCAACAAUCAGAGACAUUGACCCUUCAAGCCUUGCAAUUUCAGAAUUCUCCUGGUGGUAGCCUUAGGCCAGGGACUUGUUCCCCUUCAACUUGGCGCCAUGUGAUUUCAAGCAAGAGCUGCUUGCCCCCACCCUUCUGAGGCCUCUUUUGCAGGAGACCCUGCAGCCAACCUUGAAGAACCUGGUAACCUCUCUUUUUUUCAACCCUGAUGUUCUGGCAUUCUUGGAGAGACAAGUUAAAAAGAGGAGUGAUUUCCUGAUGUGGAAAGGAAAAGGAAAAGAAAAUGGGAUCUUUUCCAAAGCAACUUAAGUCAGACUACCAACUAAAUUCUUCAGCAAAAAUGUUAGCAUCAGUUGCCAAUAAGCCUGACUUGGCAGUUUUCCUUCCAGAAAAGACAAACCAGAGGAGCUACACGUGCAUCAGCAGCUCAUACAUCCUAAGAUCCUUGAAGUAACUCAUGGCCAAUCCAACUUCAAUCCCUACUCCCUAUCCUAUCACCUGAUCCUCUGUCCCAGAUUAGGUUCUGUUGAGUAUAUUUUCAUAAACUCCAGAAUGAGGCACUGUCUCUUCUGCCAUCUGAAAUUCACUGCCUAGAAUGGAACGUGCUGCAGAAAGAACAGGAAAUUGUGUGGGGUUUACCGUCUGUGGUCAGGAAAUCUCAGCAAGACUUUUGUCCUCCAGCUCCCAACAUUACGUUGGUCAGCCAGUCCUCCAAAGUUUAUGUUCCAAUCUCUAUCCUUCCGGGGGAAUUUCCUCUCAGCAGUGAGCUUUAAAAAAACUAGAGCACCACACUCAAAAGAGGCUCAUCCAACACCAGUGGGGCCUUCCCCAUAGGAUCCAUGAGUCUUUGUCCCUGCUGAAUCUUGGAGAGAAAUUCCUGAGACAUCUAAGUCAAAGUUCCAUCAUGGACUUUCAUGGAUCUCUUUAAAGGGUCCCUCCAUUCCAGUCCUGUGACUGCCACACCUGGAACUUACUAUCAGGAACGCCUCUGACAUCUGCAGCCUGACAUUCCAUCCCUUGACCUAUCCCCUUAUUCUUCCAGCAUAUGCUUUCAAUUUGUCAUUUUUUUCCACUCCAGGUCAUUAAAUUUUUUACUCAUCUA